CCUACGGGGGGCAACAGUGGGGAAUAUUGGACAAUGGGGGGAACCCUGAUCCAGCCAUGCCGCGUGUGUGAAGAAGGCCCUCGGGUUGUAAAGCACUUUCAGUGAGGAAGAACGCCUGGUGGUUAAUACCCAUCAGGAAAGACAUCACUCACAGAAGAAGCACCGGCUAACUCCGUGCCAGCAGCCGCGGUAAUACGGAGGGUGCGAGCGUUAAUCGGAAUUACUGGGCGUAAAGCGCGCGUAGGUGGCUUGAUAAGCCGGUUGUGAAAGCCCCGGGCUCAACCUGGGAACGGCAUCCGGAACUGUCAAGCUAGAGUGCAGGAGAGGAAGGUAGAAUUCCCGGUGUAGCGGUGAAAUGCGUAGAGAUCGGGAGGAAUACCAGUGGCGAAGGCGGCCUUCUGGACUGACACUGACACUGAGGUGCGAAAGCGUGGGUAGCAAACAGGAUUAGAUACCCGUGUAGUC
rnacentral:rRNA from 1 species